UAAUACGUAGGGGGCAAGCGUUGUCCGGAUUUAUUGGGCGUAAAGCGCGUGUAGGCGGCCAGGUAGGUCUGGUGUGAAAACUCGAGGCUCAACCUCGAGAGGUCAUCGGAAACCAUUUGGCUAGAGUCCGGAAGAGGAGAGUGGAAUUCCCGGUGUAGCGGUGAAAUGCGCAGAUAUCGGGAAGAACACCUAUGGCGAAGGCAGCUCUCUGGGACGGUACUGACGCUGAGACGCGAAAGCGUGGGGAGCGAACAGGAUUAGAUACCCUGGUAGUCCACGCCGUAAACGAUGGGUGCUAGGUGUGGGUGGUGUCGACUCCAUCCGUGCCGCAGCUAACGCAUUAAGCACCCCGCCUGGGGAGUACGGCCGCAAGGCUA
rnacentral:rRNA from 1 species